GCGCCCGUAGCUCAGCGGAUAGAGCAGCAGACUUCUAAUCUGACGGUCGCAGGUUCGAUCCCUGCCGGGCGCGCCA
rnacentral:tRNA from 1 species